rnacentral:sRNA from 1 species
GUCUCCCCUACAAUUGUUGGAGUUAUUAACAUGCAAAAAGCAUCAAGUGUAGACGACUUAUUAAAAGGCAAAUCA